rnacentral:sRNA from 1 species
CCAUGGGAAGGAUGAGAAGCUUCGACUAAGGUUCGACUCGAGCGAAGCGAGAGAACGUUGCCGCAGGCAACGGCCCGAAGGGCGAGGCGCUUUAGCGCCGAGUAAUCCUUCCCCCACCACCA